rnacentral:rRNA from 1 species
ACGAACGCUGGCGGCACGCCUAACACAUGCAAGUCGAACGCGCGACCCUGGGCUUGCCUAGGGAAGUGAGUGGCGCACGGGUGAGUAACACGUGGGAACCUGCCCAGUUGACUGGAAUAACCAUUGGAAACGGUGGCUAAUACCGGAUAUUACCCCUCGGGGUGAAAGAUUUAUCGCAACUGGGUGGGCCCGCGUCAGAUUAGGUAGUUGGUGGGGUAAUGGCCUACCAAGCCUACGAUCUGUAGCUGGUCUAAGAGGAUGGUCAGCCACACUGGGACUGAGACACGGCCCAGACUCCUACGGGAGGCAGCAGUGAGGAAUCUUGGACAAUGGGGGCAACCCUGAUCCAGCGAUGCCGCGUGAGUGAAGAAGGUCUUCGGAUUGUAAAGCUCUUUCGACAGGGAAGAUGAUGACGGUACCUGUAAAAGAAGCCCCGGCUAACUCCGU